UAAAAUUCAAAGAGACAAAAGAGACUUGAAAGAAACUGCGGGAGUUGAAUUUACAAAAGAUUUUAUUCACUCCAACAACUCUAUAGCAAUUGCUUUCAUUCAUAUUUUUCUUCUCCUUUCUCUUUUUUUUAUUUUUUUUUAUUUUUGAUAAGGAGUAUGUAUUGACAUGUAUACAUCCUUCUAUUUUUUUUCAUUCAUUUUUUUCUUUUUCUAUUUUUCU
rnacentral:lncRNA from 1 species